GAUUAUUUUCCAAUUUUUCCAGGGAUACUUUGAUUUCUGCUCUCUAGACUCCCCCUCACGGCUCUAGUGCUCCACCCCUAGAAUAUAGACCUUACUGGGGUUUGGUGACACUUUGUGUUGCUUCUUCAGUCACCUGCUCACGACUCACCCCCCUAAAAUUUCUGGCACCACCCCAGUAAAAAAUAUGAAAAUCCGUCUAUGCCAAUGAGUA